GAAGUUCGCUAGGCAGUCGCUGUGAGCAUUUGCUCAUGGAGGAAAGUCCGGGCCCCGUAGAGCAGGAUGCCGGCUAACGGCCGGGCGCUAUAAGUCGUCGCGCAAGCGGCGACCCAAGGCGACGGAAAGUGCAACAGAAAGAUACCGCCGAUGGCCUCCCGGAGGACUUCGCCGCCGCAAGGCGGCAAAGUCCUCUUUAGAAGAGCAGUCCCGUGAGGGAUGCUCUUCCGGGAGGCCAGGUAAGGGUGAAAUGGCGAGGUAAGAGCUCACCGCGGACGCAGUAAUGCGGACGGCACGGCAAACCCCAUCCGGGGCAAGGCCAAAUAGGGAAGCCAUGACGC
rnacentral:RNase_P_RNA from 1 species